CCCUUAGAUGUUCUGGGCUGCACGCGCGCUACACUGAUGCAUCCAACAAGUUUUUUCCUUGUUCGAGAGGACUAGGUAAUCUUUUGAGAAUGCAUCGUGAUGGGGAUAGAUUAUUGCAAUUAUUAAUCUUCAACGAGGAAUUCCUAGUAAGCGCGAGUCAACAGCUUGCGUUGAUUACGUCCCUGCCCUUUGUACACACCGCCCGUCGCUACUACUGAUUGGAUGUUUAAGCGAGGUUCUCGAACUGCUAGCGACUUAGCUUCGGUGAGGUCGCAGUGUGGGAAGUGAACCUAGCUUUGGUGUCUAGAGGAAGUAAAAGUCGUAACA
rnacentral:rRNA from 1 species